UUGGUGAUGGACAGGGAAGUCUGGCGUGCUGAGAUUCAUGGGGUCACAAAGAGUCAGGACACGACUGAGCGACUGAACUGAACUGAACUGACGUUCUGCUCCUGAGAAUCUGAACACAGGAACUCAGUGUCCAUGCUGCCUGGAGCUUCCUGAGUUAGCUUACUGCAUAUCCCAGAGGGCGGGGACUGUCCCUUCACUUCUGCCCUGAGUGAUGUUCCCUCACUCCUAGUCCUCCUUGGGUGGUCCCCUCUUCUCCUUACCCUGACGGGGGCGCUAAGCACCAAGGCUGAGCCUGGAGGCUGGGGCCUGAUCCGGGUUCUUGGGGGCGGGGCCUGCAGCCCAGGUGGGAGGAGCCUGGCUCCCUCUGGGGUCCUGGCAUCUCCCCUCCCAGUGGAGCAGCCCGUCAUGGGAGAGCAGAGGCCGUUGGAGGCCCUCUCUGGAGGAGCUGAGGCUGUGCUUCCAGCUGGAGAACCACACCCUCUGGGCCCCUGGCAGGUGCCCUGUGCCCCAGGCUCUCUGGGGUCCUUGAGGAGUCCCUGACCAGGCCAGACCAGCCCCACCCACAACAGGCCCGACACCCAGCAGGUGGAAGACUCAGAGGACAAGGCAGGAGGGGCAGUUAUGGGAGGGACCGAUUUGCAUGGCGACCUUGCCUCCCCAGGCUGUGGGAGGGAUAAAGGAGCCCAGAGGGGCUGUGUCUGCUGAGAGACUAGAAGGAGGGGCUCAGGGAGCGCCCCCACCAUGGCCUGGACCCCUGUCCUCCUCAGCCUCCUCACCCACUGCACAGGUCACUGGAUCCUCGGGGUUUGGGGACAUAGCCCCAGUGGCACCCAGGGCUCUGUUCUUUACCACUGGGGCCCAGGCAGUGCUGCGGGACCCAGCCCCACCAUCCCCGUGUCUUUCUUUCCUUUCUGCAGGGUCCUGGGCACAAUCCGGGCUGACCCAGGAGGCCUCCGUGUCACGGUCACUGGGUCAGUCGGUCACCCUCACCUGCACUGGGAGCAGCAACAACGUUGGAUUCUAUGGUGCGGGCUGGUCCCAACACCGCCUAGGUGCAGCCCCCAGAACCGUGGUGCUGGGAAGUUCUCGGCCCUCAGGCCUCCCAGCCCGGCUCUCGGGCUCCCGUUCUGGCUCCACCGCCUUGCUGAGCAUCUCUGGGCUGCAGGCUGAGGACGAGGCUGACUAUUACUGUUCCUCGUGGGCCCACAGCCUCAGUGCUCCCGCGGUGCCCAGGGAUGUGGGGAAGAGGGACAAAAACCUCCCGCUGGCUGAUGGCUCUUUGUGAUGACUGGUGUCCAACAGCAGUGGGAGGACUGGGUUCUCUGUUAUUUCUUCCUCCCCACACUGGAGGGUCUGGAGCUGGGGUCUCAGCACAUCCUGUGAUGGGAUCUGUCUGAGGGCCGCUUCCAUGCUGGUCUCACGUCCACUCUGUGUCAGCUCCAUGGAUCCCCUGAGAAUCAUGAGGUGAGAGACUGCUCCCCAGGCUCACACCCUCUGCACCUGGGAAUCAUUGGCAUACACUUAACCACAGUGUGAAGAAUCAUUCACAUCACUGGACACGAGGCUGGCCUUUCAUUUUGGUCCUGGGAAGCAUUCUAUAAGCCCCAGGGAUGUCCUGUCUGAGAGAAGGGUCUAUGUCUGGUAACCUUGGACUGCUCAGAUGGGGUUCAGGUAGGCAACUCUGGGUCAAGUACAAUGGGGUCCUAAACAUAGAGACAAUAAUUAUAGAUAAUAACAAUAAAGAAAAAUUUGAAAGUUAUUAGUUCUUAUCAAUCCUGGUCUUGGGUGUG